GGGCGAAGCCGGGUACACAUCCGCUAGUAUAUGUAUAUGUAAAAAACAAUAGAAAAAAAAUAAUAAAAAGGUCAGGUGUUGAUAUGUAUAUGUUGAUUUUUAAAAAUUACUAUGACACGCGGAAGGUCCCAGGUUCGAGCCCUGGCAGAAACA